rnacentral:lncRNA from 1 species
UGGAAUACCUCGGAUGAAUGUAGCUACGGUUCUGAAGAUCUGCGUGCUGUUAUCUGCUCUUUUUCCACAGUAUUUCAUAUCCUAGUGGCAAUCAGCAAUUGGAACAGCUUUGCAAAGUCUUAUUGGAGUUUGGAUGCAUGGAAAAACCCUUUAAAGCUGUGGAUAUCAAAAACAAGGGUCUAAGAAGUACUCCUUACUACCAAAUCCUUAUUAACAGAGUCAACAGAUUUGGCAAGUCUACAGUUUAUGUUCCUGAGGAAGAGAUAACAAUUCUUAUGAGACCAGAAGGUAUUAUUUCAGUUUGUAAGAGUUAAGUCCAAUUUCAUUUUAAA